rnacentral:rRNA from 1 species
GAUGAACGCUGGCGGCGUGCCUAAUACAUGCAAGUCGAGCGAACAGACGAGGAGCUUGCUCCUCUGACGUUAGCGGCGGACGGGUGAGUAACACGUGGAUAACCUACCUAUAAGACUGGGAUAACUUCGGGAAACCGGAGCUAAUACCGGAUAAUAUAUUGAACCGCAUGGUUCAAUAGUGAAAGACGGUUUUGCUGUCACUUAUAGAUGGAUCCGCGCCGCAUUAGCUAGUUGGUAAGGUAACGGCUUACCAAGGCAACGAUGCGUAGCCGACCUGAGAGGGGAACGGCCACAAUGGAACUGAGACACGGUUCAAGAUCCUAAGGGAGGCAACAGGAGGGAAUCUUCCGGAAUUGGGGGAAGGCUGACGGAGCAACGCCGCGUGAGUGAUGAAGGUCUUCGGAUCGUAAAACUCUGUUAUUAGGGAAGAACAAAUGUGUAAGUAACUAUGCACGUCUUGACGGUACCUAAUCAGAAAGCCACGGCUAACUACGUG